rnacentral:rRNA from 1 species
AGCAGUAGCCACGGUAAUACGUAGGUGGCAAGCGUUGUCCGGAAUUAUUGGGCGUAAAGGGCUCGCAGGCGGUUUCUUAAGUCUGAUGUGGAAGCCCCCGGCUCAACCGGGGAGGGUCAUUGGAAACUGGGAAACUUGAGUGCAGAAGAGGAGAGUGGAAUUCCACGUGUAGCGGUGAAAUGCGUAGAGAUGUGGAGGAACACCAGUGGCGAAGGCGACUCUCUGGUCUGUAACUGACGCUGAGGAGCGAAAGCGUGGGGAGCGAACAGGAUUAGAUACCCCCGUAGUCCCUGUCUCUUAUAA